AGGAACUCCUCCCUGCUGGAGAUCCUGUCUUCCUGGGCCUUGGGCCCCCCACAAAAGAGAGGCAGGAAAGUUUUGAACACAGAGCCUCUCCUGGGCCCUCAGUGGCCAUGACAUGAGGAAGGACAGUGUAUGUCCACACUGGGGGCCUCCUGGGUGUGUGAGCUCGGGCAGGGCCCCUCACCUCCCAGACAUUGGAGGGAGGGUGCGGCCCGCGGCAGUGUGAGGGCCUGGGCGCCGCGGGGCCUCAGGACCCUUCCGGGGUCUGCUCGCUGCCUUAGGUUCCAACAGACCCUCCUUACAGCGCAGGUCGCAGCCUGAGACACACAGGCAUGGCCGCUGGGACCCACAUAGAGGAGACAGACAGGCCGUGGCAGGGAGGCUGCAGAAACGCAGAGAUACGAGACACAAGUAGACACAGACACACACGGGCGGUGUGGCUCUGGCAGCUGCUUUCCCGCCCCCGGGGGCCCCUGUCCAGCCCAGGUGCCUGAGGCUGAUGGCCGCCCGGGGGGCCUUGGAGGAGCCCCACAGCCUCCAUGCUCGCAGCCCGCAGAGAAGCUCAGAGAGGUGUCCAGUAGCAGGAGGCGUUCCUGGGCUAGGAGGGUGGGGGCCGCUCUCGGGUCCUCGCGGGCAACGUCCUCACCUCUGGGUGGGGGCCAAGGAGCAGCCCUCGUCUGGGGAGUGUGAGGGGUGGGCAUGGCUCCGGGGACAUGGGGCUGCUGGGGAGGCUCUGGCCUCCUCCUGGGGCUCUGGGGCUCACAGCAGGGGUGAGACCCCCCACAGGAAGAGUGAGGCCCUGCCUCCUAGGGGCGGGCUUACAGCGCAGCGGGCUCAGAGCUGGGCGGCGUGAGCUGGAGGCAUCAUCCGCAACUUCAUGAUAUCUCGGGCUCCUCCUCACCCAUGGUCCCAGGGCCACCAAAGGGGCUUAGAUAAGGGCUCUCCCCCUGGGCACGGGUAGAGGACCCCUAGCAGAGCUGCUGGCAUCGUCCCGCUCUGUCCCCAAAAGCAGAAACCAGCAGAGGAGCUGGGACCAAGGAGUCGGAACAGGAAGAGG